AUCCCGAUUGAUCUAUACUCUGAUACCGAUCGAUUCCAAUUGCUAUUUGAUCAUUAACGUUAUCCAUGGGGGUGAUACGUCACAGCUAAAUAAUAUCACGUAUUGUAACGUUUGGAUUUUAAUUGGAAAAAUGGGAUCCGCAGUUAUCUCUAUAUGAAAAAUAAAACAACAGGAAAAGAUCGAUAAAUGAGCAAUUAUUUUUCUUUUACAGUAAAGGUUAUAUCGCCUGCACCUUUUCCCCCAUCGAUUUAUUUCAUCUCAUUUUUGCUGUGAAAAGUAAUUUCCAGGUAAUCCAUAUGUGAUGGUAAAUUUUUCAUUUUUCGUAAACGACGUUCUGCAGUGAAGAGUAACGUGAGGAAGACGAGGUUCGCUUGUUCCUGUAGAAAGAAAUUGAAGAUUUUCGGAUGGGGAAGAAUUUUUUUUCCUUUAUUUCUCCAUUUCGCACACAGUCCGCGAUGUAUCUGACGAUUGAUUCAAUAAAUUAUGAACCCCGCGUCAUGAUAAUUUGGCACAAUUUGAAUCGUACUCGAUUUCAGUAGAUUUUCAUCCAUAAUUCAUAAUUCACAGUAGGCAGGCGUUAAUCCCUAAUUCUUUUGUAGCCGUGAUUUUAAUAAUUAUGGUAAAGCCUCCCGCUCUUGUCUACCAUAAUGUGGAGGGAAUUGUUCAUCCGUUGUUUAAACCGCUUAUAGAAUAUCCUGUACCAUCUGAAAAUCCACACCCUGCAGCCACCGCAUUUCUAAUUAGGAUUCGCUUCGUUUAUGUAAUCUCGCAAGAUAUGUAAUAUGCAUAUAUAUAUCUAUUCCCCCCCAUCUGGGGUUUCAUUUUAACACCGUAUCAAAUACCAAGAUAAAAACUGAAGAUUGCACGCCGUGUCUAUGGUUAACGUGCAACUUUAGAUUUAUUUUCUCUUGUCACACCAACGAUCACGUCGUACGUAUGCAAUGUCUACAUACACAUUGCACAUAUAGGUGCAUAUAUAUGCUAUAUGAUGUUUGCCAACCACGACAAAUAUUUGCCUAAAAGAUACAGAUAUAGAGAUUCCUCUACGUGAUAGAAAUUUAUGGACGGUUGGGUUUUCCAAUACUUUCAACGGUUCGCGAUUUUUUUUUCAUUUUUUUUAUUUUAUGCUCCCUUGUUUUUUUUCUCCAACUCUUUUUUAUUUUUAUGUCAUCACAGCUAUCACGAACUAUCGCUACAUCAGCACUGUCGUCGGCCCCAACGGCAUCAGGUAAGAGAGAAGAAAAAAAAAAAGAACUAGACAUAAGGGUGUACUAUACAUACGGUCUGCAUGUACCUGGAUAUACGUACAUCCUCCAGCUAAGGGUGAAAACUAUUUUCUCGACGUCAUAAAUACCGCUUUAAAUGACCUGUAACGAACGUAUAGAGUGACGGCGGAGACGACAGCCCCUUCUCCUUAAAUCGGCCGUAUUACGUAUGAUACCUGAAGAUAUUUUUCUACUUUUAUUGCCCGCUGCAGGGCGGGCAUGUGGAUGGAAUCGCUGAUAGAAAAGUUAUGACUCCGGGCAUACCCGGCUACCUAGGGGGUGCGGAGCAAACUGUAAUGGCAAGACCUUUCCACUGGGUCAACGAUUUGUUCGACAUGUCAAGCGAAUUUGAGUGCACAGCUGCGGAGAUUACAUCGAGAGCUAUAAGAAACCAGAGAGACGUAAUCAAUGGGGAGGGUCGGAGAAAAUUGAAAAAAAAUACGCCCUUACGCUGAUAACGAGAAAUGGUAGGACGACGUUUCGCAAGACUUUGGCACUCGCCAAAAGGACGCAAGUCACCAAAAAUCAAAAUAAUCGAAUUCUUCAAUCUCAUGAUAGAACUGC